ACUCAAAGGAAUUGACGGGGGCCCGCACAAGCGGCGGAGCAUGUGGAUUAAUUCGAUGCAACGCGAAGAACCUUACCUGGGCUUGACAUGCGCCAGACAUCCCCAGAGAUGGGGCUUCCCUUGUGGUUGGUGUACAGGUGGUGCAUGGCUGUCGUCAGCUCGUGUCGUGAGAUGUUGGGUUAAGUCCCGCAACGAGCGCAACCCUUAUCCUACGUUGCCAGCGCGUUAUGGCGGGGACUCGUGGGAGACUGCCGGGGUCAACUCGGAGGAAGGUGGGGAUGACGUCAAGUCAUCAUGCCCCUUAUGUCCAGGGCUUCACACAUGCUACAAUGGCUGGUACAGAGGGCUGCGAUACCGCGAGGUGGAGCGAAUCCCUUAAAGCCGGUCUCAGUUCGGAUCGCAGUCUGCAACUCGACUGCGUGAAGUCGGAGUCGCUAGUAAUCGCAGAUCAGCAACGCUGCGGUGAAUACGUUCCCGGGCCUUGUACACACCGCCCGU
rnacentral:rRNA from 1 species